rnacentral:tRNA from 1 species
GGUUCGAUGGCGUAGUUGGUUAUCGCAUCUGUCUAACAUUGUUUGCGUACUUGCCUGUUACAAUCCUGUAACACUUGCGUAACAUGGUCACAGAAGGUCCUCAGUUCGAGCCUGGGUCGAAUCA